AAAAUGCCAUUUGCCUCCUUGCCUCACCACGGAUGACAGCGCUGCAUCUCUGCCUCAUGUCAGAACGACACAAACUGCAUCUCGCCUCAAACUUCUCUCAUUGCCACUCCAGUCUCUAACCCCAAUCAGAUUCGUUGCAGAAGCCUCCAGAACCAUGGCUGAGAAUGGUGUUGCAAUCCCAUCGCUGCCGGUGCCGCCAUGAGCAUGGUUUCUCCAAGCCAUCUGCCUCCCUUCCGGUAUGCACAAGUCUCUAUUGCACAACUGGCAGAUCAGAGUAACUACAGGAAAGUACCAAGGCAAGUUUGUCAAGUUGUGGAGCGUUGUGGAUGUUGCUGACAAUUGAGGGACACUAGCAGAGAUGGUGUGGAUGGGGUGGUUUUGGCUAUAAAACCAAAUCAUGUGAUGGCAGGUUGUUGUAGUUCUUCCAUAUGCAACCAAACGGCAUGCAGCUAGAUGCCUGACUGUGCAAAAGGCAUUAACUGUGGCUAUACAGCUUGAUUUUUGCAUACUUUUUUCAACAAAUCUAGAGCGGAGGGCCUCUUUUAAUGUUCCUUGGCGAAGACCACAAGUGCAUGGAUGUUGGAGAACGCAAGUGGCUCUAGCAGUAACUCUUGUAUUCAUUUUUUUUGUUAUGCAUAGAAAAGAUGUGUCUUUUGAGUCACAUUAUAUGGGACUUUGCUCAAAUGGGUUAAAAGGGUAAUGAUAAGAAGAGAAAUGAAGUUUAGAAUAGCUUCUCUUGUU